UUAAAUCUGAAGCUGUAAACAAACCUUUAGAGCUUUGCCUGUUCACUGGAAUAACAGGAUAUCUCCCUCCACCCUCCAGCAGGAGAGAGACUGUAAUUAGCUCAUUGUCCGUGAAUAGGCACAAAAGAGGCGGUGCUCCCCAUACUGGCUCCCUUUCAACAGCAGAUCUUGGGGCAGAUGUUAAUUCAUUAAGUGAGUAACUUCCACCAUCUCCCAGGAACACCAGGGAGCCCGACUCCCCGUUCCAAAAGGGACACUGAGGAAGAACAUGAAAUACCCUGGCCAAGGACUCACAGAAAGGAUACUCGGAGAAGGAAAAAAACCACCACCAGGAUUCACCUCCCUGCUGCAGCCUGCUUCCUGGUGCUGGUUUUGGCAGCCCAUCCCGGGGCUGCUCUGUGACACCCGGGGAACCAAACUAUUUAUAGCCACGCAAUCAUUAUAAACAAAGCUGUUUAUAACACCGAACCUUGGCCCCGCAUGAGUUAAAACUCUAGACUGGCAGCUAUAAAUAACUUAGAAAAAUGUGGGCCAGGCUGUGGUGGUAGGUAACACAAGGUGGAAAGGCGAAAGCAGAAUUUAACAUCAGACUGACUGGAAUGUCAGUGUUUAAGGGGGACCAGAAACGUAUAAAUUUGAGCAGUAGUUUACACUGAAUCGAUGAAAGACAAGAUUCUGGAUGGAGGGAUUUACCCCCCAGGGCUUCUGGUCUGAGAGAUCUUGUAGAUCC
rnacentral:lncRNA from 1 species